AGGACGUGGCGAUAAGAAGCAUCACUCGGAGGCCCGUUUCACGUAGAAGGGGUUUUCUUUUACUACCCUCGGAUGACUUCCUUCGUCACGCGUGGAUCUGCUCUAAGGCUGCCUGCCUGCCUGCCGGCCGCCUGCGGAAGUCCUCCCUGGGGCCUUUGCCGCCCCGGAGCUGCCAGGCAUCGCGGGCGCGCGCGCGCGCACACACACAGAGGACCUGCGAACCGACC
rnacentral:lncRNA from 1 species